rnacentral:rRNA from 1 species
CAGUCGCCGCGGGAAUACGGAGGAUGCAAGCGUUAUCCGGAAUCAUUGGGCGUAAAGGGUCCUGAGGUGGUUUGCCCAGUCUACUGUGAAAGAUCAGGGCUCAACCCUGAAAAUGCGGUGGAAACUAGCAGGCUAGAAUACGGUAGGGGCAGGGGGAAUUCCCGGUGUAGCGGUGAAAUGCAUAGAUAUCGGGAAGAACACCAAUGGCGAAAGCACCCUGCUGGGCCGAUAUUGACACUGACAGACGAAAGCUAGGGGAGCAAAUGGGAUUAGAUACCCGGGUAGUCCCUGUCUCUUAUAA